AACAGGGACUAAAAUGGGGUGAUAACAUUAUCUUAUGGUUAGGCCUCGUUAAAACCUCCCUUGGAAAAACCCAGUGGGAAAAACCCAAGGAGAGGAAAAAGAGUACCUAACCACAAGCCUAUACCCACACCAGAAGCAAAGACCCUUGUUUAAGCAAUAUGCAACUAGAAUACAGCCACAGUGCAACAUAAAAGAAAAAUUUAAGCAACAAUGGUUGUGUUCAGAUAGAAAAGAGGUCUUUCAUACGCCGCUCCACGCUUCGCUAAAGCAUCCGCUUCAGUAUUAGCCUCACGAUAAAUAUGUCGAACCUCCAAGCAAUUGACCACUAGUAUGAGCUCAUCAAUCUUGUUCAGGAUGCUUAUAAUUUUCCAUGGCCUGUUCUUUUUGGUGUUCACCCACCCAACAGCAAUUGAAGAAUCACAUUCUAAUAUAAUAUUAUAAAUCGAUUGUUGGUGACACAGAGAUAAUGCCUCAUGAAUAGCCAUCGUUUCUGCUUCAAAAGCAAAGCAUCUCCCC
rnacentral:lncRNA from 1 species